GAUGAACGCUGGCGGCGUGCUUAACACAUGCAAGUCGAACGGAAAGGCCAGUGCUUGCCCUGGUACUCGAGUGGCGAACGGGUGAGUAACACGUGGGUGAUCUGCCCUGCACUUCGGGAUAAGCCUGGGAAACUGGGUCUAAUACCGGAUAGGACAAUGGUUUGGAUGCCGUUGUGGAAAGUUUUUUCGGUGUGGGAUGAGCUCGCGGCCUAUCAGCUUGUUGGUGGGGUAAUGGCCUACCAAGGCGUCGACGGGUAGCCGGCCUGAGAGGGUGUACGGCCACAGUGGGACUGAGAUACGGCCCAGACUCCGACGGGAGGCAGCAGUGGGGAAUAUUGCACAAUGGGCGCAAGCCUGAUGCAGCGACGCCGCGUGGGGGAUGACGGCCUUCGGGUUGUAAACUCCUUUCGCUAGGGACGAAGCGUAUUUGUGACGGUACCUGGAGAAGAAGCACCGGCUAACUACGUG
rnacentral:rRNA from 1 species